ensembl:lncRNA GLIDR glioblastoma down-regulated RNA
AGAUAGGUGCCUGCUCUAAGGCGUGGACCCUCGCCACAGCCCUGGCCCGUCUUGACGGGCGAGGGUUACUGUACUUGUCCCAACCGUACAGAUGAGAAAGCUGAGACUCAGGGCCAGCAACCCGGGUCCCAGCGGAGCGCCCGGCACACGCCGACACUUCAGCACCAGUGGCGGUGGCCACCACUGUGGGCGGAGAUGGCUGCGACGCGUGCGCAGAUCUCGAUCCCAAACUCCCUCCUGCCAGAAUCUGGACCCGAAUCCACCCAUUGCCCGUUUUCCGCUGCCGCUGGAGAGAAUCUCUGAGGUCCCCAGGAGAGCCUGCCUGCACGGAAGAGACGCCUCCUCGAUACCUGGGAGAGAGGAUUUUUCAUGUUACCAACACAAAGAAAUGAUAAAGUGCUUCCCUUGCAGGUGAAAUGGCCACCAGACCCAGGCUUUCUGGAAUGCAUUCAUUUUCUGCAGUUGAAAGGGACAAUCCCGGAUCUGAAAGAAAGAGCCACAGUGACUCCAAGAGUGGAGCCAGGGCAUGCUGGACACUGCAUAGCUAUGGCCACGUGUGUCACCUCCGAGGGAGAUGUGAGAGAAACGCAGAGGGAUCGCUUGUGACUGUGCCUUCUCGAUGUAUGAUGGACUGUUCUGCUCAAAUAGUAAGUGUGACCAAGGAGCCGGUGAACAUAGGAAACAAAGAAUAUUUCAUUUGACAUUAUAAGGAAUGCGACAAUUCUAGUCACUUGAAAGUGAACUAUAUCUGUCGAGAAUUCCUAGUUUUAAUUGGGAAGAAAUGUGCUUCUCUUCUUGAAAAGCCACAGGUUAUUGCUGUUAUGUCUAAUAUCAGUCCUCUCUGGAUUUCUCAAAAGAUUUUCUGUAUAUCCUACCAUUUUCCUUCUGUUGCUGCAGUUUGGAAGUAGUUUGUUAUCAGGAUUAUCAAAGCAUCAUUGCUAUUUAUGACAAUGACUUUAAGAAAUGCAAGAAUAUUUGGAACACUGUAGAAAAAAUAUUUUAGCCUGGAAGGCAAAUACUAAUUUCAGGAACUAUUGAUCUGUUAUAAAACAGGACCACUCAGACAUUUAGCUCUAAGACUUUCACAUAUCCGUUGUUAGAGGCGUAUAGUGGGGGGCAUGACUCAGCUUCUGCUUAAGUACAAGGUGUUGUCUGCAGCGAAGGAAGAAUUUGAUUGUAGUAUCAACAGAACCAGACAGAACUCUUUGAAUAUAAUUAUAUAUCUUGGAAACUGACUCAUCAAAGCUAUUAGAUUACAUGGCAUCAUUUAAGCAUCACUGGGCUCUGUACUUUUCAUUAUCUGUACUUUUCAUUAUGGAGUAUAAUAGGCUUUAUUUGGUACAGAAAUUGGGUCUAAGAUGAAACAACUUGUGAUUUUUGAAUAAACUUUUGGGGAUUAGUUACUUUGAUGUUGUCAAGAUAGCACCAUAGUAAGUCCUCUGUCUUUCCUCUUGAUUUAUUUAUAAUUUAGAAUCAGUUUAUGAUUUUAAAAAAUGUGACAGACACAGUGGCAUGCACCAGUAGUACCAGCCACAUGGGAAACUGAGGCAGAAGGAUCACUUGAUCCCAGAAGAUAGAGACCACCCUGGGCAACAUAGUGAGAGCCCCAUCUCAAAAAAAAAAAAAAAUCAAUUCCCAAUACCAUUCCAGAACACUUUUAAUAUAACCAGAUGAAAUUGUGAUCACUACUUUACUGUAAUGUUUAAAAUGGUCCUCAGUCCAUAUUUAAGUACAAUCUUAGUGUUUCUGUGCAACCUAAUAUAUUAGAAACAAAAAUUGUAUUGCAUUUGAAUAGGAAAUACUCUGAAUUGAGGGUUAUUUCUUUUAACAGUUGCAAUUAGAUUGGUUAGUGACAAUUAUCUGUAAUUUUCAGGCAAUGCCUAGGCAAGUGCCCAAGGCACAGUAGCCUCC